AAUCAACGCUGGCGGCGUGCCUAACACAUGCAAGUCGAACGAGAAAGUGGAGCAAUCCAUGAGUAAAGUGGCGCACGGGUGAGUAACACGUGACUAACCUACCCUUGAGUGGGGGAUAACCUAGGGAAACCUGGGCUAAUACCGCAUAAUACCUACGGGUCAAAGGAGCAAUUCGCUUUAGGAGGGGGUCGCGGCAGAUUAGUUAGUUGGCGGGGUAAUGGCCCACCAAGACGAUGAUCNGUAUCCGGCCUGAGGGGGCGCACGGACACACUGGAACUGAAACACGGUCCAGACUCCUACGGGAGGCAGCAGUGGGGAAUUUUGCGCAAUGGGGGAAACCCUGACGCAGCAACGCCGCGUGGAGGAUGAAGACCCUUGGGUCGUAAACUCCUUUCGAUCGGGACGAUAAUGACGGUACCGGAAGAAGAAGCCCCGGCUAACUUCGUGCCAGCAGCCGCU
rnacentral:rRNA from 1 species